rnacentral:rRNA from 1 species
UAGGGAAUAUUGGGCAAUGGACGAAAGUCUGACCCAGCAACGCCGCGUGGAGGAUGAAGGCCCUAGGGUUGUAAACUCCUUUUGCUAGGGAAGAUAAUGACUGUACCUAAAGAAUAAGCAUCGGCUAACUUCGUGCCAGCAGCCGCGGUAAUACGAAGGAUGCAAGCGUUACUCGGAAUUAUUGGGCGUAAAGCAUGCGUAGGCGGACUUAUAAGUUAAUAGUGAAAUCCCUGGGCUUAACCCAGGAACUGCUAUUAAAACUAUUUGUCUUGAGUAUAAUAGAGAGUGGGGGAAUUCCUGGUGUAGGGGUAAAAUCUGUAGAUAUCAGGAGGAAGACCGGAGGCGAAAGCGCUCACUUGGGUUAUUACUGACGCUGAGGCAUGAAAGCGUGGGGAGCAAACAGG